UUAACAGCCUUGGCGGACUCGGUUGGGAUAGCCCUCGAUCAAGGCAUCCCUAAUAACUGAGUAUGAGAAUGAUUUUUGGCACAAGCCAAGCUUUUCAGGAAAUCAUAAGCCUAGUUGUUUAUUUGGUUGAAAUAAGUUGAAAGGUAAUGAAAUUACAGUAUGAUGAUUUAUUUUAAUUGUCUCCAUUUACUCGGCUUUAGAUAUUUUAGAUGGUAUUUGUUUACUCACUAGGAUUAUAUAAUCUCACCACCUUCAUUUCCACCCAUUUCAGGCUCAGGAUAAUGUGUAGAUAGCUGAUAUCGUCGAAGGCUAUAGUCGGCUUUAUUACUCCAAAAACUGUAGGUUUACUGUGAAGUAAAUUUUGUUCCUUGUGGGCCCAUGAGUCACUGUAAAGUAAAUUUCAUAUCCC
rnacentral:lncRNA from 1 species